UUUUUUCCCCCCACCAAGAGCCGUUUGUCAAAUGAGAUGCUGCUGGGGUAUUGUAACAGAGGCUGAGAGCGAGGCGAUGUUGGUUAUUCAUAGUUGAUCCCAAAGGACUUUUUGUUUCAUGCGGUAUCAAACAUGUGCCUCCAUGGCAACCCAUUACUGAUUUGAACCAAUUCACAUGUGAACAUCAAUUAGGCUUCAACUGGAGGCUUUUCAGCAGGGACAGCCUCAAUUACGACGUCUCAAGAUUUCAAAUGCAUACACUAUGUAUACAAAAGUAUGUGAACACCCCUUCAAAUGACUGGAUUUGCCUAUUUCAGCCACAUCUGUUGCUGAUGGGUGUAUUAGGUNNNNNNNNNNUUCAAUCCAACACCAAUAUGUUUCCUUCAGUAUUCAAUCCAACACCAAUAUGUUUAUUUCAGUAUUCAAUCCAACACCAAUAUGUUUCUGUCAGUAUUCAAUCCAACACCAAUAUGUUUCCUUCAGUAUUCAAUCCAACACCAAUAUGUUUCUUUCAGUAUUCAAUCCAACACCAAUAUGUUUCUUUCAGUAUUCAAUCCAACACCAAUAUGUUUCUUUCAGUAUUCAAUCCAAAACCAAUCAACCGAUAUGUGAACAUAUUUGACAGUGUAUAGUAAAGAUGUACAACCAUUCAACCCACCACACUCUAGAAGCCUAUAGUCUGAGGUCAUGCUUUGAUCAAACUCACCAUCCAGAGACACACGGACAUAAUGAGGGAAGACAAAGAAGAGACAAACAUACCGUUAGACACAAGCAGGAGGGCCAACAGAACACACUGUCCAUGGGAUUCCAUCUUCAUGCCUACACAGUGACAGGACCACACUGAUGCACUCUACUGUAGCCACUCUGACAGCACAGGGGCUGGAUUAGGAUAAUCCACAGGACACUAAUGGCCAGUAAUACCCUUUAUCUCCUCACAAAGUCCCUCCCUCAUCUGUUGAGGGCCAGUUGGGAAAAUGCAAUGAGGAAACAGUAAUGCAACGUGUAACGUACCAGAGCAGGGUCCUAAUGGCUGGAUCCCCUGAAGGAGCCCAGCUGCUACACCCUGUCACCCAUAUCAUGGAGCAGAAGAACAACGAAGAAACCCUUCAGAGAGCAGAAGAGGAAAAACAAGGCCUACUCCACCUUCAUCUACAAGAUCCGGAGAGAGGGUGGCUGCAUCCCCACCAUGGACUGUUUAUUGGUGAACGGGUCUACCUGCCCACGGAGGGUGCUGGUCCUUCUGGUCGGCUCCGAGGCCGCCCGCCUGUCACGGCUCAACAGGAGGAAAGUCAUCACCCAACUAGAGGUCCACACUGCCAUGGCACGGCUGAGACAAGGGAGAAAACAUGCCAGGCAACCGGGCGCCUGAAUGCUCUUAUGAACGCUUUGAAUUUUAUGUAUAUUUAAUAAAGAUGCCUUGUUUUUACUCAUCGUGUUGUCAUUCCAACAAAUCAAUGCACCACUAAAUGUUUAAAACAAGUUGCGCACCUGAAGGCUGUAUAAUUGAAUGUUAAAGCGGUAUGCUCUCGCCUCUAAUGGCGGUCCAAUUACUUCGAGGGGCGGGGAAAGGCAUGGCCAUAAUUGAUGCAUUUGCUUGUCAGGGGCGCAGAUGUGCGCCAAACUCAGUCAACCAUAGCCGAACUCCGGCGCGUGGGGAAAGCGGAAAUCAAAUGGACCCUUAUGUUCCGCGCUGUGCGUGACGCCCACUCAAAACACGCGUGUUGAUUAAGGAAGCGGAAGCUUACACCAUGUACAAGACUCACAUUUUGGCGUAGACUCUGCUGCGGCACAACCAAACAUCUUUAUCAACCCAACCGGUGUCCAGGAGGAACGGGCGUGUUCCUUAGAUGAGCUGGGUUGUCUUGGACUUGUCGCAGGGUAAGUCAUUUACUGGCAAUAUAGGCUAUUGGUCACAAUCAGCUGUUGCAUCCUGUGUAGGGAAUGUAAUUACUAUAUUCACCUUUGCAGAUUUUACAUGUGAACAGCAACAGGUGUUUUGUCUCGUGCAGAUCAAUGGGCAUACUACAGUGACGCAUGCAGGAUGAAUUAGUUUAUGCGACAUGUUUAAUUUAAUAGAGCACAAUUAUGUGCGUAUUUCGCCAUUUGUUUUUGUUUUUUUCCCCCCACCAAGAGCCGUUUGUCAAAUGAGAUGCUGCUGGGGUAUUGUAACAGAGGCUGAGAGCGAGGCGAUGUUGGUUAUUCAUAGUUGAUCCCAAAGGACUUUUUGUUUCAUGCGGUAUCAAACAUGUGCCUCCAUGGCAACCCAUUACUGAUUUGAACCAAUUCACAUGUGAACAUCAAUUAGGCUUCAACUGGAGGCUUUUCAGCAGGGACAGCCUCAAUUACGACGUCUCAAGAUUUCAAAUGCAUACACUAUGUAUACAAAAGUAUGUGAACACCCCUUCAAAUGACUGGAUUUGCCUAUUUCAGCCACAUCUGUUGCUGAUGGGUGUAUUAGGUUGAGCAUCCAACCUUGCAAUCUCCAUAGACAAACAUGGGCAGUAUAAUGGCCUUACUGGAGAGCUCAGUGACUUUCAACAUGGCACUGUUAUAGGAUGCCACCUUUCCAACAAGUCUGUUCGUCACAUUUCUGCCCUGCUAGAGCUUCCCCAGUCAACUGUAAGUGCUGUUAUUGUGAAGUGGAAACAUCUAAGAGUAACAACGGCUCAGCCACAAAGUGGUAGACGACAUAAGCUCACAGAACAGGACCACCAAGUGUUGCAGUGUGUAGGGCGUAAAAAUAGUCUGUCCUCGGUUGCAACGCUCACUUUCGUGUUUCAAACGGCCUCUAGAAGCAACAUCACAAUAACUGUUUGUCGGGAGCUUCAUGAAAUGGGUUUCCAUGGCCGAGCAGCCGCACACAAGCCUAAGAUCACCAUGCGCAAUGCCAAGUGUUGGCUGGAGCGGUGUAACCUUCGCUGCCAUUGAACUCUGGAUCAGUGGAAACAUGUUCUCUGGACUGAUGAAUCACGCUUCACCAUCUAGCAGUCCGGUGGACAAAUCUGGGUUUGGCAGAUGCCAGGAGAACACUACCUGCCCCAAUGCAUAGUGCCAACUGUAAAGUUUGGUGGAGGAGGAAUAAUGGUCUGGGGCUGUUUUUCAUGGUUGGGGCUAGGCCUCUUAGUUCCAGUGAAGGGAAAUAUUAACGCUACAGCAUAUAAUGACAUUCUAGAUGAUUCUGUGAUUCCAAUUUGAUGGCUACAGUUUGGGGAAGGCCCUUUCCUGUUUCAGCAUGACAAUGCCCCCAUGCACAAAGCGAGGUCCAUAAAGAAAUGGUUUGUCGAGAUCGGUGUGGAAGAACUUGAGCCCUGACCUCAACCUCAUCUAACACAUUUGGGAUGAAUUGGAGCGCCGACUGCGAGCCAGGCCUAAUCACCCAACAUCAGUUCCCAACCUCACUAAUGCUCUUGUGGUUAAAUGGAAGCAAAUCCCCUCAGCAAUGUUCCAACAUCUAGUGGAAAUCCUUCCCAGAAGAGUGGAGGCUGUUAUAGCAGCAAAGCUGGGACCAACUCUAAAUUAAUGCCUGUGAUUUUGGUCAUGUAGUGUACUUUUCACUUCCUCUCUCGUCUCCUUCUAAGAACCCAUUGAAGGAGAAGGUUAGAGGGGAGGGACCGCUGGCUUUCUCAUCCAAUGGGUUUUCAGGAGAGAGGAUUCAAGGAGUAUGCAACUUUUCUCUCUCUCUCGCCCUCUGUCUGCCUGUCUGACUCUCCCUCUCUGUUUCCAUUCACAGACAUAUUGCCUUGCCCCUAACAGAAUGGCCACAGACAUACUGCCUUGCCCCUAACAGAAUGNNNNNNNNNNGGCCAGUAGUAGUAGUAGUAGUAGUAGUAGUAGUAGUAGUAGUAGUAGUAUAAUAGUAGUAAUAGUAGUAAUAGUAUGAAUAGUAGUAGUAUAAUAGUAGUAGUAGUAGUAGUAGUAUAGUAGUAGUAGUAUAGUAGUGGUAGUAGUAAUAAUAAUAGUAGCAGUAGUAGUAUAUUAGUAGUAGUAGUAUAGUAGUAGUAGUAGUAGUAGUAGUAGUAGUAGUAGUAGUAGUAGUAGUAGUAUAAUAGUAGCAGAAGUAGUUUAGUAGUAGUAAUAGUAAUAAUAGUAGUAAUAGUAAUAAUAGUAGUAGAAGUAGUUUAGUAGUAGUAGUA
rnacentral:lncRNA from 13 species